rnacentral:rRNA from 1 species
CGCCUACCAUGCAGUCGAGCGAGACAAAUAAAGCUUGCUUUAUUUGUUACUGAGCGGCGAACGGGUGAGUAAUACUUGGAUAAUCUGCCUCUAGGACUAGGAUAACCUCAGGAAACUGAGACUAAUACUGGAUAUGAUUACGGAUACUAAGGUAUCAGUGAUAAAAUGUUUUUUCGCCUAGAGAUGAGUCCAAGUCGCAUCAGGUUGUUGGUAGGGUAAAGGUCUACCAAGCCUUUGACGCGUAGCAGGUCUUAGCGGAUGAUCUGCCACAUGGGGACUGAGAUACGGCCCUGACUCCUACGGGAGGCAGCAGUGAGGAAUAUUGGGCAAUGGACGAAAGUCUGACCCAGCGAUGUCGCGUGAAGGAUGAAGGCCUUCGGGUUGUAAACUUCUGUCAGCAGGGAAGAUAAUGACGGUACCUGCAGAGGAAGCCCCGGCUAACUCCGUGCCAGCAGCCGCGGUAAUACGGAGGGGGCAAACGUUACUCGGAUUUACUGGGCGUAAAGGGUUCCGUAGGCGGUUGUUUAAGUUAGAUGUGAACGCUUGAAGCUUAACUUCAAAUUGGAUCCAAAACGGAAUAACUGAUUCUAGAGAGGUUAAUGGAAUUUACGGGGGAGGGGUGAAAUGCUAAAAUACGGUCGGAACCCCGUUGCCAAAGCUAAUAACUGGCUGAAUAUGAAGCUAGGCACGAUAGCUGGUUACUAGAGGAUUAGAUCCUGGUAGUC